GUUUGUUGUGUCGCGUAGAUGCCACGGGGAGCCCCAGGCACGGCCAGGCGGCCCCAGCAUCUGCUACGCUCCUCUUCUACACGGGAGAAGAGAAAGUCUCUGACUGUUUUUUUUACUUGCUUUUAAAGUGCACAAGUGACACAUAAACACAUUUGGAGUCUGGAACAAAUCUCGGACAUCACGUCAUUUCGUCCGUAAAUACUUCAGUUUGUGCCUCUUGCAGAUCAGGUCUCUUAACAUCAGCGUGAUGUCGUCAUCGUACCAGCUCAGGUAACAAGCAUCCCUCGCUAUCUUCUCAUCCCCAUUUCCUCCAGUUUUCUCAGGACGUCUCCAGGAGCAAUCGAAGCGUUGCUGGGCGUGUGGGUGAAUCCCAAGGUUCCUCGUCAGCGGGUCCACUGUCGGACUAGGCUCUGGCCAACGGGACCCGGCAUGGGAAUGGGCGAGAUGUGUGCAACUUCCGGCUAGGACGUGUGAGGGGAAAUGUGGGCCUGACGGCAGGAGCUGAAGCAGCUGUCUCAGCCCAGAAGUAAUAUGAUCCGUUGGAGACAUUUGGAAAAUAUGAAGAAUAUUUCCAGAACCAUCCAUAACUCUAGGCCUGAGAUUCUGCUGUGUUUCCUGUCUGUUGUACCACUGUCUCACGUCUUGGUUUCUGGCCAUGUCGAGGGAGAGUUCCAGGCAUGCAGUGCCUUUGCAAGACGAAAAUGCAGAUUCCAAGGCACCCCCAGACGAGCUGGAGGACCGGGUGCCCUGGAGCCACCCUGGGGCCACCCGCUUCCGUCGUGGCGUGGGCCCCAUCCCCAGCUCCAUCUGGUCCUCGCCACGGAGGCCUCUGGCAGUCAGCACAGGGGCAGCCUCCCACAGAGCCCUGAAGGACCAGACAAUUUAGGACAGAAGCAGAGAGUGAAUGACAUGUAGACCUCAUGGACUGCUGUCCAACUUCCACAGUGACCAGCUCGGGCCAGUCCUGCACCAUCAACCCCCAACCCGCUGCCCCACUUGUGUUAUUUUGCAGCUAAUCCCUGACAUCAUAUUUCAUCCUUAAACAUUUGGCAUUGUCUCUAAAAAAAUUAAGAUCUUUAAUAAAACAUUACUACAGAA
rnacentral:lncRNA from 1 species